rnacentral:rRNA from 1 species
GGUGGGCACUCUAAGGUGACUGCCGGUGACAAACCGGAGGAAGGUGGGGAUGACGUCAAAUCAUCAUGCCCCUUAUGACCUGGGCUACACACGUACUACAAUGGCCGGUACAACGGGCAGUGAAGCCGCGAGGUGGAACCAAUCCUAAAAAGCCGGUCUCAGUUCGGAUUGCAGGCUGCAACUCGCCUGCAUGAAGUCGGAAUUGCUAGUAAUCGCGGAUCAGC